rnacentral:misc_RNA from 1 species
UCCGAGUUGACCCCGGCGGUCUCCUGUGAGUCCCCAUCACCCCGAAAGGCAUGCUGGCAACACAGAACAAGGGUUGCGCUCGUUGCGGGACUUAACCCAACAUUUCACGACACGAGCUGACGACAGCCAUGCAGCACCUGUCACUCGGUUCCCGAAGGCACUCCGCCGUCUCCGGCAGAUUCCGAGGAUGUCAAGGGUAGGUAAGGUUCUUCGCGUUGCAUCGAAUUAAACCACAUGCUCCACCGCUUGUGCGGGCCCCCGUCAAUUCCUUUGAGUCUUAACCUUGCGGCCGUACUCCCCAGGCGGAGUGCUCAAAGCGUUAGCUGCGUCACUGACCGGCAUGCCGGCCAACGACUGGCACUCAUCGUUUAGGGCGUGGACUAC